UACGUAGGGUGCAAGCGUUGUCCGGAAUUAUUGGGCGUAAAGAGCUCGUAGGCGGUUUGUUGCGUCGGCUGUGAAAUCCCGAGGCUCAACCUCGAGACGUCGGCGGAAACCAUCUGGCUAGAGUCCGGAAGAGGAGAGUGGAAUUCCUGGUGUAGCGGUGAAAUGCGCAGAUAUCAGGAAGAACACCCGUGGCGAAGGCGGCUCUCUGGGACGGUACUGACGCUGAGACGCGAAAGCGUGGGGAGCGAACAGG
rnacentral:rRNA from 1 species